AGCUAGUUGGUGGGGUAAAGGCCUACCAAGGCUACGAUGGUUAGCUGGUCUGAGAGGAUGAUCAGCCACACUGGAAUUGAGACACGGUCCAGACUCCUACGGGAGGCAGCAGUGGGGAAUUUUGCGCAAUGGGGGAAACCCUGACGCAGCAACGCCGCGUGAGUGAUGAAGGCCUUCGGGUCGUAAAGCUCUGUCAGUGGGAAAGAAGUGUGGGAGGGCCAAUACCCCUUUCACUUGACGGUACCCACAAAGGAAGCACCGGCUAACUCCGUGCCAGCAGCCGCGGUAAUACGGAGGGUGCGAGCGUUGUUCGGAAUUAUUGGGCGUAAAGCGCGUGUAGGCGGCUCCUUAAGUCUGAUGUGAAAGCCCCGGGCUCAACCUGGGAAGUGCAUUGGAAACUGGGGAACUUGAAUACGGGAGAGGGUAGUGGAAUUCCUGGUGUAGGAGUGAAAUCCGUAGAUAUCAGGAGGAACACCGGUGGCGAAGGCGGCUACCUGGACCGAUAUUGACGCUGAGACGCGAAAGCGUGGGGAGCAAACAGGAUUAGAUACCCUGGUAGUCCACGCCGU
rnacentral:rRNA from 1 species